CUUCUAGGGCUAAAAAGUGACUGCACGUUUGGGAGUGUUUUAAGCAAAUGUCACAGCUUGCCAGCAGUAAGUUAGCAAAUCAAGAGGCUUAACAAGAAAAGAACAGACAGAUCCCUCUUGUAGGAAAGAGAUUCUUCGGGUGAUUUGAGCAGAGGCUUUUAGAAUAUCGUAUCGCAUACAGAAUGUCUGACUCAUCACAUGCAGUAUUUCUGAAUUACAGCAGGAUUCACGUAACUGAAGUUCUCUUAACUGUGAAAUGAAACAUCAGUCUUUCUAAAUGAAAGAUUAAAGAAUGCAGAAAUAUAAAACCUCUGUCAAAU
ensembl:lncRNA